CAGCAGCCGCGGUAAUACGUAGGGUGCGAGCGUUAAUCGGAAUUACUGGGCGUAAAGCGUGCGCAGGCGGUUGUGUAAGACAGGUGUGAAAUCCCCGGGCUUAACCUGGGAACUGCGCUUGUGACUGCACAGCUAGAGUAUGGCAGAGGGGGGUGGAAUUCCACGUGUAGCAGUGAAAUGCGUAGAGAUGUGGAGGAACACCAAUGGCGAAGGCAGCCCCCUGGGCCAAUACUGACGCUCAUGCACGAAAGCGUGGGGAGCAAACAGGAUUAGAUACCCCGGUAGUCCCUGUCUCUUAUAC
rnacentral:rRNA from 1 species